UGCCUAAGUCUUAUAGAUUUCUAUAGGAUAUGGCAAAAGAAGCCCGUUCAGAGCAGUAAGCCUCUCAUCAGAGCACUCUGAACGGGUCAUGUCAGGAAACUGGCAUGGGUGGCCGCAAGGCCAUC
rnacentral:sRNA from 12 species